AAAAUUUUUAAUUGUAAAAUUGCUACAUGAGAAGACAAGUUGUUAGAUGAAAUUCAAAUAUUCUCUAUGUUUGUGUUGUGUAGGUCAAAAAAUAAUAAACAAAGAUGAUAUUGAUUGUGAUGACCUAGAGAUUCAUUUUAAAACACAACAAUCUUCAUCAUCUUUAAAUAAAAGGGAUAAACAUUAUGGAUUUCCAUUAUCUCAAGCAAAUUUAUGACAAAUUCGCUCAUGGCCAAAUCUAAUAUGGCAGCUGGAAAAGGCAAAGGAUCUUUUUAGCCUAACUAAGCUAUACAACUUAAUAAAAGAUUCUGUAUCUCAAUGUUAUCCUGGCUUAUCUAUACGAUAUCCUGUAUCCACUCACACACAUAAAUUUUACCCACAUACGAUAUCCUGUAUCCACUCACACACAUAAAUUUUACCCACACACGUAAAUCCUGUAAAUUUACUCACACACAUAAAUCUUAAUAAAGAUGUUUAUAUUUUUAUCUAUAAAUUGUAAACUUUAUAUAAAUAAAAUGUAUAUUUUUUAUGUUUUUCAUUGUAUAUUACUAUUUUUAUUAAAAAUCGA